AAAAAUCUAAAUUAUUAUCCAUCCCCUCACUCACCCCCUCUCUAACUCACCCGCUCUGUCUCUCUAAUUCUUAUCCCUCCUCUCAGUCACCCCCUCUCUGACUCACCCGCUCUGUCUCUCUCACUCUUACCCACGAAGCUCGUUCCCCUCACACUCACCCGCAAGCUCACUGUCAAAAUUUUGCUCAGAUCUCAGCUAACACAUCAUCAAAACCGCAACGAUGACGCUAGGCUCAGGAGGAUCCAGUGUUGUGGGUCAGUUUCUUCUCUGAUCUUGCCCUUUUUUGUUCAAUCUGUUUAUGCCCUUGAUUGAUUUAUUCUCUUUGUUUUGGGUGGUUUUCUGCAGUCUUAUGAACAUUUUUUUUUUUGGCAUAAAUGCAUGCGGGUUGCUAAGUUUAAUUGUUAAUUAGACCUGAUCCGCAAUUCUAUGCGUUUUUUGAAUUUUUGAUCGCGAAAUUUAGUUAAUUUAAUUUAAUAGUGUUGGAUCAUCAUCACUAUUAAAUUAAUAGUUAAAGAAAUUCUUUUGACACGGGCUUUAUGAAACCUUGUAUGUGAUACUUUGCUUAUAAAAGUAUUUGGAUUGUUUUUUGUAUUUAUAUUUUAAAAUUACUAGAAACAAGUUAUUUGAAGUGUGAUACUUUGUGAAAUGUUAAAACCUUAUGAUUUGGUUGUAAUUUUGUUUUUGCUUAUAUAUGUUUACGUUUGUUGGCAGUAAAGCAUAUAUUGCUAAUCCAGUAAUUGCAGCUUGAUUCUAAGGUUCUUUUACCUUAUUAUGCAAGGUAACAAAAUUAGUCAAAUUAUGAAUAAAAUCUUUUACACUACACAAAAAUUUAUGCCAUUUAGUCACGUAAGAGAAAAGUUAUUUGUAUUAUACAUAACUUGAUUGAAAUGAAAUAAUAUAAUUGUAAAAAUUAACAAAGUCAAAUAAAUUAUACGCAACAAUCUAAAUCUUAUAAAUUCUUAAAAAUUCCUACUCUUUGUAUAUGGUAAGGUAAGAAUUUUGAGAUCAGUCUUCAGUUUGACAAAAAAAUUAUAUCCGAACUCAUAGUCUUUCCUUAGUGAAGCAAAGAAAUUCGUGACCAAUAAUGUGAUCAUAUAACCACUAGGUAAGAAAAUUAUGUAUCAUACAUAAGUCAAUAAUUAUAUUUUUUAAAAGUUAAUUACAGUAUAAUUGAAUGACAACCUAAUUUUCUCCUACCCAUGUGAGCUAAGCGCUACAUAAGAAUGAUAUUUUUUGAAUAAUAACAAAAAGUACAAGUAAAUAAAAUAUAUUUAUUUAAGCUAAAUGCUACGUAAGAAGUUCCUUUUAUAUACUAGUCUAUGUCUCUCUUCCUCUCUCUCUUUCUCUCUCAUACUAGUCUCUCUCUCUCUCUUUCUCUCUCAUACUAGUCUCUCUCUCUCUCUCUCUCUCUUAGGAGUAUUUUAUCGUACAAUCUAGGUAUUUUUUUAAGUUCAUUUUUUAAAAGAUUGGAGAGUGGAUCAAAUCUAAAUCGAUUUUUUUAGCCUUUACCUCCCCUAAAAUUCAAAAUGUAUUAACUAGCUAAAUAAAAAUACUUGAAAAUUGUUUGACUAAGUCAUUGAGGCCAUAAUUUAAACACUGAUAGAUAGUUAAAAAGUUCCAAUAAAAUAUGAUCAUCUAAUGGUGUCUUUACAGUUUUGUAACCACAACCAGUACAAUGUCUCUAUCAAAUGACAUGUUUCUACCCAGAAUCAAUUUCUUUUUUACUAUAUGGAAUUAUCUGCUCAUGGGUUGUCUGCUCAUGGUUUGUCUGCUCAUGAGUUCUCUGCUAAUGGAUCGUCUGCUCAUGGAUUGUCUACUCAUGGAUUGUCUGCUCAUGGGUUGUCUGCUCAAGGAUCGUCUGCUCAUGGGUUAUCUGCUCAUGGAACAUCUGCUCAUAGAAAAUCUGCUCAUGGUGCUAACUAAUCAGCGGCUUCCCACCAAACAAAUUUAAUGUUGAUGCAGGGAUCUGAGAUUCGAUCAACUCAUCCAGAUUUCGGCAUCAACAUCUAGUGCCGUCUGUGGGGACCGGUACGAGAAGCCAAUUUUUUGUCUCUAUCAAUUUUCAUCUAGUCGAAGCAAAUCAGAAUGUUACAGUGCAUAAAUGGAUGAGCUUGCUUAAACAAGGAUGCAAAAACCUUAAACGAGAGCACAUUGAAAGCACACGUUUGUAAAAAUCAGAACAAGUCAGAAGUUAAAUUUUUAUUUACAAGCAAUUUUUUCAUGAAAAUUUAAUUAUUUCUCUAAAUCCUGCUAUGUGAGAUGAGGAUACCUUAUAUUCAUUAAAUUGAUUGUGCUCAUGUUAGGGCUGACGGUAUAACUUAGUUAACUUGAUUUCUUGAAAGUUACUCAAUAUGAGAAUGAUUUAAGAAAGGAGAGCUAGGCUAGCGUUGAGAAGCCAAUCAAAGUUUACUAAUAAGGCGUGCAAAGGCUCCAAAGUCUCAAAGCCUAUUUUAUGGCGAGACAGGAAGCCAAGCAUGCCAGGAUCUUCUCGACCAAGUGAAGGCGAGCAGACCACCAAAGUUCCAAAAAGUUUCUAAGGCGUGCAAAGGCUCCAAAGUCUCAAAGCAUGUUUUAUGGCGAGACAGGAGGCCAAGCAUGCCAGGAUUUGCUCGACCAAGCAAAGGCGAGCAGACCACCGAAGUUCCAA
rnacentral:lncRNA from 1 species